rnacentral:sRNA from 1 species
AGCAGCCGCGGUAAUUCCAGCUCCAAUAGCGUAUAUUAAAGUUGUUGCAGUUAAAAAGCUCGUAGUUGAAUUUCGGGAUCAAUUUGCUGGUCGUGCCUCUGGUACGUACUGGUAUUAUUGGUUUCUCCCUUCUGACGAACCAUGAUGUCAUUAAUUUGAUGUCGUGGAGAAUCAGGACUGUUACUUUGAAAAAUUAGAGUGUUUAAAGCAGGCAUUAGCUUGAAUACAUUAGCAUGGAAUAAUGAAAUAGGACGUUUGAUCCUAUUUUGUUGGUUUCUAGGAUUGACGUAAUGAUUAAUAGGGAUAGUUGGGGGCAUUAGUAUUCAAUUGUCAGAGGUGAAAUUCUUGGAUUUAUUGAAGACUAACUACUGCGAAAGCAUUUGCCAAGGAUGUUUUCAUUAAUCAAGAACGAAAGUUAGGGGAUCGAAGACGAUCAGAUACCGUCGUAGUCUUAACCAUAAACUAUGCCGACUAGGGAUCGGAUGAUGUUAAUUUUUAAUGACUCU